GGUUGGUGCCGGCGCGGCAGCAACCUUUGAACUGUGUCAGGUCCGAAAGGAAGCAGCACUAAGGAGGAUCUUCUGGGUGCCGCCGGGGUGCCUGUCCAA
rnacentral:SRP_RNA from 1 species